rfam:Arabis alpina cultivar Pajares chromosome 3, whole genome shotgun sequence.
AUGAGCCAGUGAUGAUUGAAAAAGAUUGCCUACAUUGUUUGAUUUACCAAAUGAUAUUGAUACUUUGAUUUUUAAUCACUCUGAGGCUCUU